rnacentral:rRNA from 1 species
AGGAUGAACGCUGGCGGUCUGCUUAACACAUGCAAGUCGAACGGAGUAGCAAUACUUAGUGGCGGACGGGUGAGUAACGCGUGAGAAUCUACCUUCAGGACGGAGACAACAGUUGGAAACGACUGCUAACCCCCGAUGUACUGAAAAGGCAAAUAUUUAUAGCCUGAAGAAGAGCUCGCGUCCGAUUAGCUAGUUGGAGAGGUAAAAGCUCACCAAGGCGACGAUCGGUAGCUGGUCUGAGAGGACGAUCAGCCACACUGGGACUGAGACACGGCCCAGACUCCUACGGGAGGCAGCAGUGGGGAAUUUCCGCAAUGGGCGAAAGCCUGACGGAGCAAGACCGCGUGGGGGAAGACGGUUUCGGAUCGUAAACUGCUUUUCUCGGGGACGAGAACGGACGGUACCCGAGGAAUCAGCCCCGGCUAACUACGCGCCAGCAGCCGC